rnacentral:rRNA from 1 species
UACGGAGGGUGACAAUGUUGCACGAAUGUGGCGUAAAGCGCACGUAGGCGGCCUGUUAAGUCGGGUGUGAAAGCCCUGGGCUCAACCCAGGAAGUGCACUCGAAACUGGCGGGCUUGAAUAUGGAAGAGGGUCGCGGAAUUCCCGGUGUAGAGGUGAAAUUCGUAGAUAUCGGGAGGAACACCAGUGGCGAAGGCGGCGACCUGGGCCAAUAUUGACGCUGAGGUGCGAAAGCGUGGGGAGCAAACAGG